rnacentral:lncRNA from 1 species
AGCACGCCCCAGGUUUUCAAACCCAAAUCCCUAAACAAGCACGCCCCAGGUUUUCAAAGCCACGUUGGCAUUUUCAGCGGCAAACUCCCCCACCCAACACCCACCAUUCUGCUUGGGUUGUCAGAAAAUUGGCCAAAAUCUCUUAUUCAUUCUACUAUUUUAAAAUUCCUAUGUUCACCGUGAUAUGAUCUAAAAAUGCAGAUUAUAUCCAUUUUCCUUGUUGUUUUCCUUCCAAUCCUUUUGCUUCUUUUUCUCACCUUGUCCUUCCGGGAGCCCCUGCAGCUGACGCUGAUGUCGGAGUCUCGGGUGUUCCUUCUGGUCUCGCUCCCGACUUGAGGAGGCAGAUUUCAACAUGGAGCAGCAGGACUGGAAAGAUGGCUCCUAUCUAUUCCAAAUAACUCCAAUAUCGCCUCAAGUGAAGAGGAAAGCCUCAUAUUUCAAGGC